UACGGAAGGCAGCAGUGGGGAAUAUUGCACAAUGGGCGCAAGCCUGAUGCAGCCAUGCCGCGUGUAUGAAGAAGGCCUUCGGGUUGUAAAGUACUUUCAGUCGUGAGGAAGGUGUUAAGGUUAAUAACCUUAGCAAUUGACGUUAGCGACAGAAGAAGCACCGGCUAACUCCGUGCCAGCAGCCGCGGUAAUACGGAGGGUGCGAGCGUUAAUCGGAAUUACUGGGCGUAAAGGGCACGCAGGCGGUUAAUUAAGUUGGAUGUGAAAUCCCCGGGCUUAACCUGGGAAUGGCAUUCAAGACUGGUUAGCUAGAGUCUUGUAGAGGGGGUUAGAAUUCCAUGUGUAGCGGUGAAAUGCGUAGAGAUGUGGAGGAAUACCGGUGGCGAAGGCGGCCCCUGGGACAAAGGACUGACGCUCAUGUGCGAAAGCGUGGGGA
rnacentral:rRNA from 1 species